AUAUGACGUACUUGUACUGAUUGAGAUUUUAACACGAAGUGAGUGCGAACGGGUGAGUAACACGUGGGUAACCUGCCCAGAAGUAGGGGAUAACACCUGGAAACAGAUGCUAAUACCGUAUAACAGAGAAAACCGCAUGGUUUUCUUUUAAAAGAUGGCUCUGCUAUCACUUCUGGAUGGACCCGCGGCGUAUUAGCUAGUUGGUGAGGUAAAGGCUCACCAAGGCAGUGAUACGUAGCCGACCUGAGAGGGUAAUCGGCCACAUUGGGACUGAGACACGGCCCAGACUCCUACGGGAGGCAGCAGUAGGGAAUCUUCCACAAUGGACGCAAGUCUGAUGGAGCAACGCCGCGUGAGUGAAGAAGGGUUUCGGCUCGUAAAGCUCUGUUGUUAAAGAAGAACGUGGGUAAGAGUAACUGUUUACCCAGUGACGGUAUUUAACCAGAAAGCCACGGCUAACUACGUGCCAGCAGCCGCGGUAAUACGUAGGUGGCAAGCGUUAUCCGGAUUUAUUGGGCGUAAAGCGAGCGCAGGCGGUCUUUUAAGUCUAAUGUGAAAGCCUUCGGCUCAACCGAAGAAGUGCAUUGGAAACUGGGAGACUUGAGUGCAGAAGAGGACAGUGGAACUCCAUGUGUAGCGGUGAAAUGCGUAGAUAUAUGGAAGAACACCAGUGGCGAAGGCGGCUGUCUGGUCUGCAACUGACGCUGAGGCUCGAAAGCAUGGGUAGCGAACAGGAUUAGAUACCCUGGUAGUCCAUGCCGUAAACGAUGAUUACUAAGUGUUGGAGGGUUUCCGCCCUUCAGUGCUGCAGCUAACGCAUUAAGUAAUCCGCCUGGGGAGUACGACCGCAAGGUUGAAACUCAAAAGAAUUGACGGGGGCCCGCACAAGCGGUGGAGCAUGUGGUUUAAUUCGAAGCUACGCGAAGAACCUUACCAGGUCUUGACAUCUUCUGACAGUCUAAGAGAUUAGAGGUUCCCUUCGGGGACAGAAUGACAGGUGGUGCAUGGUGUCGUCAGCU
rnacentral:rRNA from 1 species